AUGGAGACGGAGGGCGGCUCCAGUGGGUCGCCGUCGAGCGGGUCGUCGGCCAAGUCCUCAGGCUCAAGUGGGUCGUCUUCGAGCGGGUCGGCGGCGCCGGCGAGGACGAGGAAGCCGGGGACAUGGAGGAGGCUCCCGCGUGUCCCGCGCGCCCCGACCCAUGCCAUCAAGGAAAGGGGGGAGAUGGGGAUAUGGUUCAUAACGCCUGAGGAGUUGCAGCGGCAGGCCCGGGAGCGUGCCAACGAGCUGGAGAAGAUGGACGACAGCGGGUGCGACACGGAGGAGGCCAGAAUCGCCUUCCAGGAAUUCAAGAAGCGUCAUGUACGCUUGUACCGCAGCAUCGCCGAGGGCUGGCCGGAGCAUAUAGUCGUCAACCGCAACCCGGAGCUCAGCGACACGGAGGAAGAGUAUCUGACCGCCGAGGACAUGGAAGCACGCUUCUCACAUCGUAACCCCACUCAUGGAGCACAACUAAAACACUUCGCUUGCCUUGCCUUGGCACAUUACAAUGCCACAAAGACCGAGCACAAGUUUGAACUUGGUGAAGCCUUGACGUCUAACUGCUUUUCUGAGGCGUGUGGGACGACAUAUGCUCAUGUCAACUUCACGGCCAUUCCCCAGAAGAGUAAUCACCCUACGAAGAGGUUAUUCUUUGCUGAGCUCAUGCUCAUUCCAGAGCUCCAGAUGGAGGAGGAUACCGAGCCUAUGCGUGUGCUGCAUGUCUCGACUAUUGAUGAUGUUCCCUGUUAUGGUGGAUGCCAUGAAAUAUGUCGGAAGAUCACUCACAGGAUGAGGGGCGUCAUGGACUACGAGCGAUGCCACGCAUGUCACGGCAAUCUGAAGCAUCCAAAAGGAGAUAUGUUCAUCGGAGGGCAUAAUAGCACGAGGAUGCCCUACUACUCUGCACCCUAA
rnacentral:rRNA from 1 species